GAUGAAUAACGCAGCGAAAUGCGAUACGUAAUGUGAAUUGCAAAUUCAGUGAAUCAUCGAGUCUUUGAACGCACAUUGCGCCCCCUGGUAUUCCGGGGGGCAUGCCUGUCCGAGCGUCAUUGCUGCCCUCAAGCACGGCUUGUGUGUUGGGCCCCGUCCUCCGAUCCCGGGGGACGGGCCCGAAAGGCAGCGGCGGCACCGCGUCCGGUCCUCGAGCGUAUGGGGCUUUGUCACCCGCUCUGUAGGCCCGGCCGGCGCUUGCCGAUCAACCCAAAUUUUUAUCCAGGUUGACCUCGGAUCAGGUAGGGAUACCCGCUGAACUUAAGCAUAUCAAUAAGCGGAGGA
rnacentral:misc_RNA from 1 species